rnacentral:tRNA from 1 species
AGGGUAAUAGUUAAAUUCUUAUAACAUUUGUAUUGCACACAAAAAUUAUUAAAAAAAAUAAUUUACCUUA